rnacentral:rRNA from 1 species
UGAACCGGGAUGAGCUCAAAUUUAAAAUCUGGCGUCUUUCAGGCGUCCGAGUUGUAAUCUAUAGAGGCGUUUUCCGCGCCGGACCGCGUCCAAGUCUCUUGGAAUAGAGUAUCAAAGAGGGUGACAAUCCCGUACUUGACGCGACAACCGGUGCUCUGUGAUACGUUCUCAAUGAGUCGAGUUGUUUGGGAAUGCAGCUCUAAAUGGGUGGUAAAUUCCAUCUAAGGCUAAAUAUUGGCGAGAGACCGAUAGCGAACAAGUACCGUGAGGGAAAGAUGAAAAGCACUUUGGAAAGAGAGUUAAACAGCACGUGAAAUUGUUAAAAGGGAAACGAUUGAAGUCAGUCGUGUGAAAGGUAUUCAGCCGUCUCUGGCGGUGUAUUUGCCUUUCACGGGUCAACAUCAGUUUGAUCCGGUAGAAAAAGGCGGGAGGAAGGUGGCACCCUCGGGUGUGUUAUAGCCUCCUGUCAUAUGUGCCGGACCAGACUGAGGAACGCAGCUUGCCGCAAGGCCGGGGUUCGCCCACGUACAAGCUUAGGAUGUUGACAUAAUGGCUUUAAACGACCCGU